rnacentral:tRNA from 1 species
UGUCAAGGGAUGGGAAUCGAACCCACGACCUUCCGCUUACUGGGCAGAUGCCAUGACCACUAGGCUAUCCUGGAC